CUAGGAGAACCGAAAACAGUUCUAGACUGACCUGCGGUUUUAUAGCACUUUGGCAGUCAACUUCAGCUUGUGUCAGAGCAGACAUGACAGAGCUGCCCAACGCUUAAUCACGGGACGCCACCUCCUCGGACUCACUGCAGCCCCCCUCUUGCAUUUCAAUAAAUUUCAGACCUUGGGGCUAGAAAUGGGGAGCAGAGGCGGCACAG
rfam:Phoenicopterus ruber ruber contig37402, whole genome shotgun sequence.